CCCCAGGGCCACUCAGCUGGUACUAGGUGAAACUUGGACUCGAACCUACCUACCCUGCUACCCAAAAAUAACCUACUGUGGUUUCAGUAACCUGGAGUACCAUUGAAUUUUUUUAUUUAAGCAAGAUUUUUCGAUUUCUGCUGGCAGGACCUAAAUGCAGUCUUACCCAGAAGCCGAAGGCCCAGGUGACGUUGUUCAGGCCUUUUAGCAAAAACAAAGUCUUACCAAAAACUCAGAGUAUUUGGUGCUGAGUAACUGAAAUCUUUCUUAUCACUUUACAUAUGUGAGGGGACAAAGUGUCAUUAUGAAAAACUACAAAAGUAUUUCCUUGAAACAAGCUUAUCUGUUUUCCCACAGAAGCCAUCCGUGGUCUGAGGCGGCUACUGUUGGGCUGAGGCCGAACACAUACACCCAGGACGCCCAGUGAUUAGAGCUCUAGAGCACAGGUUGGAAAAAGAAACAUGAAGAGUGUCUGCUAUUGUCAUUCAUUGCUGCGAUCCCUCAGGGUUCUGGAAUUGUUUGCUUCCUGAAGAGUGUGCUGCUUACUGACGCAGGCCGUCCAGAUGCCCAAGGGGAGUGUCUCCGGGUUGCAGAUGUGCUCUAAGCACCUUCCCUGGAAAUCACAGAACUUCAGACCCCCUAAGGAAGGCGAAAAGCUCCCUGAGGAAUCGUGGUGGGGUUCUGGAAACCUGAAGGCCUGCGGCCACAGGCAGUGCUGCUUAGGUGAACUCUCCUCGCAGGAGCUGAAGGCCCGGACUCCAUGGUCUUCUGGGCCUUUCCUCACAGGAGUGGUUGGGUAUGUGGAGUGAAGGGGUGAGGAGGGAAGUGGAGGUGGGGGACGUGAGGGGCUGGUGUUGAGGGCUUGCCCUUUCUGGGCCUUUCCCUCUCUUGCCUUCCCCUUGGUGCUGGUCCCGCCCCCGGGUGCCGGCUGAAGGGGCAGGGCUCCCAGCUAGGGCCCACCCAUGGGCGGCUCAAGGGCCGGGGAAGGGAUGGAGGCCUGGGACACUAGCAAUGGGAGAGAAGGGGAAGUUCCUUCUAGAUCUGAGCGGGGGAGAGAGCGGGGACUUGUGCUAACUGCAGGUGUUCCAUGGGGGACGUGGAGGACGGGGAAUGGGAGUGUCAGGCCCUGCCUGCAAAUGACAGGGUGAGAACUGGAAGAGGAUGGCGAUGAGGAAAAGGAAGGCCACGACGGCCGACGUUGGUUGGGUUUCCUGGGUGCAGGGCGGUGCGACAGAUGAGAGGACUGUCAUCCUGUCCCCCUCCUCAUGGCUCUGGCCAGUGGGCAUUGCCGUUGUCUGAAGAUGAGAGAGUUGGGACUCAGGGGUCC
rnacentral:lncRNA from 1 species